rnacentral:misc_RNA from 1 species
CGAGCGCAUGAGUUGUGAUGGACUUGUGACUACCGGUUGUUCCCCCGCUGCUGUGCGGCCGAUUGCCGGUGCCAGUGUCCUUUCAAUUGUAGGCUAUUGUGCGAAUUGUUUUGACGAGUGCUUGCGUGCUGCUACCAGUAACACUGGAAGUUGCAUUUCUAAAUGUCGGUUUUGCCGUGCAAGCCCUUAGGCCAUGACACGUCAACUACAAAGCUUUCAUGGCGUUGCCUCAUGCAGCAGGCCUCAUAUAGGCAAGCUGCAUCAAGGCGACCUCAUGUUCGCUAUUGGUCUCGGAUGUGGCUAACUCUAAAGGCUGAAGGUGCUUGGGCACCUCAUGCCUACAAGAUAUUGUCCGAUCGGAAACAACGACAGUUGGCYUGGCUGAUGCCCCGUGCAGAAGCUAGUGCU